GAGACAGCAGUCGCCGCGGUAACACGUAGGGUGCAAGCGUUAAUCGGAAUUACUGGGCGUAAAGCGUGCGCAGGCGGUUAUAUAAGACAGAUGUGAAAUCCCCGGGCUCAACCUGGGAACUGCAUUUGUGACUGUAUAGCUAGAGUACGGCAGAGGGGGAUGGAAUUCCGCGUGUAGCAGUGAAAUGCGUAGAUAUGCGGAGGAACACCGAUGGCGAAGGCAAUCCCCUGGGCCUGUACUGACGCUCAUGCACGAAAGCGUGGGGAGCAAACAGGAUUAGAUACCCCCGUAGUCCCUGUCUCUUAUAC
rnacentral:rRNA from 1 species